CCCUUAGAUGCUCUGGGCCGCACGCGCGCUACACUGGUCGAUGCAACGAGUUUCUUUCCUUGGCCGACAGGCCUGGGCAAUCUUUGAACAUCGAUCGUGAUCGGGAUAGAUUCUUGUAAUUUUUGAUCUUAAACGAGGAAUUCCUAGUAAACGCAAGUCAUCAGCUUGCAUUGAUUACGUCCCUGCCCUUUGUACACACCGCCCGUCGCACCUACCGAUUGAAUGGUCCGGUGAAAUCUCCGGACUGGCGUGAGUCGGAGCAAUCUGACAAACGCCGGAAAGUUGAUUAAACCUGACCAUUUAGAGGAAGGUGAAGUCGUAACA
rnacentral:rRNA from 1 species